CCUACGGGAGGCUGCAGUGGGGAAUAUUGGACAAUGGGCGAAAGCCUGAUCCAGCCAUGCCGCGUGUGUGAAGAAGGCCUUCGGGUUGUAAAGCACUUUCAGUGGGGAAGAAAGCCUUGGGGCUAAUACCCUCGAGGAAGGACAUCACCCACAGAAGAAGCACCGGCUAACUCCGUGCCAGCAGCCGCGGUAAUACGGAGGGUGCGAGCGUUAAUCGGAAUUACUGGGCGUAAAGCGCGCGUAGGCGGUCUGAUAAGCCGGUUGUGAAAGCCCCGGGCUCAACCUGGGAACGGCAUCCGGAACUGACAGGCUAGAGUGCAGGAGAGGAAGGUAGAAUUCCCGGUGUAGCGGUGAAAUGCGUAGAGAUCGGGAGGAAUACCAGUGGCGAAGGCGGCCUUCUGGACUGACACUGACGCUGAGGUGCGAAAGCGUGGGUAGCAAACAGGAUUAGAUACCCCAGUAGUC
rnacentral:rRNA from 1 species